UUGGCUGACAUCUUAAAUUCGGUGCCUUAAUAUUUUUGUGCCAAUAUCACACGGACAUGUUUUGGAGAGGAACCGAAAAGCCCGGGUUCACGCAUACGCAUGGAGGACAAGAUGAGGACGUAUACAGGCGGCUGAAAGCGAUCAAUCCACUUUGUCCGAUGUGGAGGAGAUUGCUUCUGAGGGGUCUCUCUCAGGUGGGGACCCCGAAGUUUCCCUCCCCAAGACAUUUUUCAUCCCUUCGUUUCCUGAUUCAUAGCAGAGGUCCUGGGUCUUUGUGGGCUUUUGCAAUACGGGACACUGGCUCCUUCUUGUCCAGGGCGUACAAAAAAGAUGCCAAAUUCACAGUGGACUUCCCAGUGAGCACCGUCACAGUCGCAGAUAUCAAACAGUACCUACGGUCCAAAGACGUCCACUUCCACGAUGGCUUCAGCUGCCUGCACGUGCCCAGCAUCUUUGUGGCCGCCGCCUCCAGGGCUGAACGCUUCUCUCUGUUUGUGGACAAGACCACCGGGCAGUUCAUGUGCAUGGACACGCAGGUGGAGGGGAGCUGGGAGGACCUCCAGGACUGCUUGGAGGUGAUGCAGGCUGAGGAGCGAGAUUUCCUCAACCCGGAAGUGCUCUUGGGCUACCCCGAGAGUGCCGAGGAGCUGGAGCAGAGCGAGAGGGACGCCAGGGAGGUGAGCAGCAUCUGGUCUGCUUCGGUGCCCUUCUCGGAUCUGACUGAGGAUGAGGUGACACUCAUCAGAACCAUGUUCCAGAUCACAAAGAUCUCCAACGCAACAAUGAAGAAGUUUGGCGUCAGGCUGUUCAAGCCCACCAAGAGUCUGGUUUUCCCCUGGCUGGGUGGUCCCAAUUCCUCCCUAAAAGGGCUGAAGCUCCUUUCGGCGCAAAGCGCGGCCGACGGCGCCAUCCGUUACAACGAGGCGACAGUCCCCAAGUGCACCUCCUACACCAACCUGUUUGGCCUCCCUUUGCUGAGCCGUAUGGACGCCAAUGUGGUCCUCACGGGACACGAGCUGGACACGCUGGCUGUGAGCCAGGCUACGGGAUUAGCCAGCGUUGCCCUCCCGCGGGGCGUGGGCUGCCUGCCGCCCGCCCUGCUCCCUUACCUGGAGCAGUUCAAGCGCGUCACGCUGUGGCUGGGCGGCGACGUGCGCUCCUGGGAGGCCUCAAAGAUCUUCUCACGCAAGCUGGGCCUGCGGCGCUGCUGGCUGGUACGGCCUGGUGAGUUCCGGCCCUGUCCCGGGGAGGCCCUGGCACAGGGAAAGAACCUAAGCCGCAUCGUGGCGAGCGCGAUCCCUGCCGCGCACAAGUCCAUCGUGUCCUUCAAGCAGCUCCGCGACGACGUGUAUGGGGAGAUGGUGAACACCGAGCAAGUGGCUGGUGUCAAAUGGGCACGUUUUCCUGAGCUCAACAGGAUCCUAAAGGGACACCGCAAGGGAGAGCUCACGGUUUUUACAGGUCCCACGGGAAGCGGGAAGACCACCUUCAUCAGCGAGCUGGCCCUGGACCUCUGCAUGCAGGGCGUCAACACACUUUGGGGCAGCUUCGAGAUCAACAACGUGCGUCUGGCCAAGAUCAUGCUGACGCAGUUCGCCGUGCAGCGGCUAGAGGAUAACCUGGAGCAGUACGACUUCUGGGCGGACAAGUUUGAGGAGCUGCCGCUCUAUUUCAUGACCUUCCAUGGCCAGCAGAACAUUAAGGCGGUUCUGGACACCAUGCAGCACGCUGUCUACCUCUACGACAUCAACCACGUGGUCAUCGACAACCUGCAGUUCAUGAUGGGACAGGAAAACCUCUCGGUUGACAAGUUUGCCGUCCAGGACCACAUCAUCAGUGCGUUCAGGAAAUUCGCCACCAACUCCAGCUGCCACGUGACGCUCAUCAUUCACCCGAGGAAGGAAGACGACGACCGGGAACUGCAGACGGCCUCCAUAUUUGGCUCGGCAAAGGCCAGCCAAGAGGCGGACAACGUGCUCAUCCUGCAGGAGAAGAAACUGGUGACGUGCCCAGGCCGCCGUUCGCUGCAAGUGACCAAGAACCGCUUUGACGGCGACGUGGGGGUCUUCCCGCUGGACUUUAUCAAAGCCUCGCUCACGUUCUCGACGCCCGUCAAGGGCAAACACAAGUUGAGAAAGGUCGCCAUCAAGCCCGAGGAAGACGAGGGCGACGAGGCUCCCUCCAAGAAGGACACCGUCAAACGAGGGAAGGCGGAAAAACAGCAAAGUAAAGCGCCAAAGUCAUCACGUGCUGCUACCGCGAGUGAAUGAAUAGGAACUGAUAAGAUCGCCGAGAUGUAAACUGCAUGCAUUUGGAGUCUUUAAACGGCAUCAGCUGGAAUGAGAAUGUAUGUGAGGCAAGUGGAUGGGAAGCAGCAACAGCUGAACUUGGAUUUUGGGGAGCGCGGCGGCUCCCCCGGACACUUUACCGUCGUCAAUG